GGUUAAGCGACUAAGCGUACACGGUGGAUGCCCUGGCAGUCAGAGGCGAUGAAGGGCGUGCUAAUCUGCGAUAAGCGCCGGUAAGGUGAUAUGUAUG
rnacentral:rRNA from 1 species